UUGAGAGUUCUACAGUCAGACUUUGAUAAAAACCAUCGGGGUAUAGAGACUGAGUUGAACCCCAGAACCUGUGGCCCGGGGGAGGGGUGGACCCGACUUGGAGGGGUCCCCUGAGAACUUAUCCCCCCGGAAA